rnacentral:rRNA from 1 species
AUUGAACGCUGGCGGCAGGCCUAACACAUGCAAGUCGAGCGGCAGCGGGAAAGUAGCUUGCUACUUUUGCCGGCGAGCAGCGGACGGGUGAGUAAUGCCUGGGGAUCUGCCCGGUCGAGGGGGAUAACUACUGGAAACGGUAGCUAAUACCGCAUACGCCCUACGGGGGAAAGCAGGGGACCUUCGGGCCUUGCGCGAUUGGAUGAACCCAGGUGGGAUUAGCUAGUUGGUGAGGUAACGGCUCACCAAGGUGACGAUCCCUAGCUGGUCUGAGAGGAUGAUCAGCCACACUGGAACUGAGACACGGUCCAGACUCCUACGGGAGGCAGCAGUGGGGAAUAUUGCACAAUGGGGGAAACCCUGAUGCAGCCAUGCCGCGUGUGUGAAGAAGGCCUUCGGGUUGUAAAGCACUUUCAGCGAGGAGGAAAGGUCAGUAGCUAAUAUCUGCUGGCUGUGACGUUACUCGCAGAAGAAGCACCGGCUAACUCCGUGCCAGCCGCCGCGGUAA